rnacentral:misc_RNA from 1 species
UGACAGAAUAGUGGAGGCAACCGCAAUGAUCUCUGGUGGAUUGUUUUCCCUGUCUUUAAGCGACAACACAAGUGCAUAAACUAGCCAAGCUAUGGAAGAGACACCACAGCUACUGUGAAUUCCUCCAACGCUCUGGAGAAAGGAUGUGAUCGCAGUUUUGAGAAAGAGAGGAACCCAUGGCCUGCCAAAUAGUUUCACUGCCAGCCCAAAGACCACCCGUAAAAAGGCUUCACUUCUACACA